rnacentral:tRNA from 1 species
GCCUCGUAGCUCAAUGGAAGAGCACUCGGCUCUGACCCGAGGGACCGCGGAUCGAUACCGCGCGAGGCUGCCA